rnacentral:rRNA from 1 species
UACGUAGGGCGCAAGCGUUAUCCGGAAUUAUUGGGCGUAAAGAGCUCGUAGGCGGUUUGUCGCGUCUGCCGUGAAAGUCCGGGGCUCAACUCCGGAUCUGCGGUGGGUACGGGCAGACUAGAGUGUGGUAGGGGAGACUGGAAUUCCUGGUGUAGCGGUGAAAUGCGCAGAUAUCAGGAGGAACACCGAUGGCGAAGGCAGGUCUCUGGGCCAUAACUGACGCUGAGAAGCGAAAGCAUGGGGAGCGAACAGG